UGCUUUUUGUUAUAACACCAAUGGUUAAUAAGCUCUCUUUCUUAUUACAGUGUGAUCUGGUUCAUAUUGCAAAUCAUGUAUCUUAGGCAUAGCUAUAUAUUUUGUUUAUUUAGUUAAUUGUUCAUUCUGUAACCGCACUUCUGUGAAAGCUUGGAUGUUUUGUUUGCAAUGGUCUUUGGACUAAGUAAUAAACUAUCUCUUUAUGAUACUUGGUACAUUUUCUCCCCCAAGGGGCUUGUUGUAGAAGAGGCUGGUGACUUUCCUGUGGCAGAGAAGGCUCUCUCAGACUCUGGAGAGAGAGUCCUGUGCAAGUGGAUGGUACAGCCAGGUGACAGAAGCAUCACCAUAAUGGGUUACCUUAGAGGAAGUGGCUGUGUAUUUUAGUGAGGAGGAGUGGGCCCUGCUGAAUCCAGACCAAAGGGCCCUGCAUAGGGAAGUCAUAAGGGAAAAUUUAGAGAUGGUGGCCUCCCUAGGUAAGGCUCCCUUUUUCUCAUGCUAGAUCAAAUUAGUCUGCAAGUGGAAUUGAAACACUAUUGCUUCUUCCUGCCAUCUUCUUUCAUUUCAGCAGUUGUCCCUUUCCAGCUGGGUUGGUUUCAGGGAUCUCUUCACAGAAAGUCCUAAGCCGGCCAACCGCGGUUCAAGGCUAAUGUGGAUGAUGUUAGCUUCAGAUGGGCUGCUAAGCUUGUAGCCCUCUAUUGGGAACUACCCUGUCUCAGAGGUGUGCCAUGAAAGAACCUACUUUGUCUCCCCAUCUUUUGCUUUGGUUCUUUCCAACGACCAAUAAAAAUGAAUUGUAAAACGCCAUGUACAAUGAUGGCACUAUAUAAACAAAGAAUAAAUGAUACUAAUUUCUUGUUCUCCAAUCCACCUCUUGAUCAUUCCAAGUCUCCCAAAAUUCUUCUCUCUUAUUUGUCUUUGUCCUUGUUUGGAUGAAUACAAAAACAAGUCAGUCAGAAGCAGAGGGAACAGUUUUUCCUUUUGUUUCCCACCAGGUAACCAAACACAGCCAUGGCCAAUAUGUCGCAGCUCAUCUCUUACUGUCGAUGCACUGAGAACAGCGUCUGUGAGCCCGGAUCAGGUUACCUUAGAGGAAGUGGCUGUGUAUUUUAGUGAGGAGGAGUGGGCCCUGCUGAAUCCAGACCAAAGGGCCUUGCAUAGGGAAGUCAUGGAGGAGAAUUUGGAGAUGGUGGCCUCCUUAGGUAAGGCUCCCUUUUUCUCAUGCUAGAUCAAAUUAGUUUGCAAGUGGUAGUGAAACACUAUU